GUUUAAUUUUGCAAUGAAAAUGCACUGUUUUUUUAUUAAACUAUAUUAAACAGAAAUUUAAACAAUAUGUU
rnacentral:tRNA from 1 species